UACGUAGGGGCGCAAGCGUUGUCCGGAUUUAUUGGGCGUAAAGAGCGUGUAGGCGGUUUGGUAGGUCCGUUGUGAAAACUCGAGGCUCAACCUCGAGACGUCGGUUGAAACCAUCUGGCUAGAGUCCGGAAGAGGAGUGUGGAAUUCCCGGUGUAGCGGUGAAAUGCGUAGAUAUCUGGAGGAACACCGGUGGCGAAGGCGGCAUCCUGGACCGGCAUUGACGCUGAGGCGCGAAAGCCAGGGGAGCAAACGGG
rnacentral:rRNA from 1 species